rnacentral:rRNA from 1 species
GACGAACGCUGGCGGCGUGCUUAACACAUGCAAGUCGAACGAUGACGACCGAGCUUGCUCGGUCGGAUUAGUUGCGAACGGGUGAGUAACACGUGAGCAACCUGCCCUUUACUCUGGGAUAACCUCGGGAAAUCGUGGCUAAUACCGGAUAUGAGCUCCUGUUGCAUGACGUUUGUUUGAAAGUUUUUCGUUGAAGGAUGGGCGCGCGGCCUAGCAGUUUGUUGGUGAGGUAGGGGAUCACCAAGGCGAUGACGGGUAGCCGGACUGAGAGGGCGACCGGCCACAGUGGGACUGAGGCACGGGCCAGAGUGAUACGGCAGGCAGCAGUGGGGAAUAGUGCACGAAGGGCGGAAGCCUGAUGCAGCGACGUCGGGUGAGAGAUGACGGCCGUAGGGUUGUAACCCUCUUUCAGGAGGAAAGAAGCGAAAGUGACGGUACCUGCAGAAGAAGCGACGGCUAACUACGUG